rnacentral:rRNA from 1 species
UACGGAGGGUGCAAGCGUUAAUCGGAAUUACUGGGCGUAAAGCGUGCGCAGGCGGUUAUGCAAGACAGAUGUGAAAUCCCCGGGCUCAACCUGGGAACUGCAUUUGUGACUGCAUGGCUGGAGUGCGGCAGAGGGGGAUGGAAUUCCGCGUGUAGCAGUGAAAUGCGUAGAUAUGCGGAGGAACACCGAUGGCGAAGGCAAUCCCCUGGGCCUGCACUGACGCUCAUGCACGAAAGCGUGGGGAGCAAACAGG